GAUGAACGCUGGCGGCGUGCCUAAUACAUGCAAGUCGAGCGAACGGACGAGAAGCUUGCUUCUCUGAUGUUAGCGGCGGACGGGUGAGUAACACGUGGAUAACCUACCUAUAAGACUGGGAUAACUACGGGAAACCGGAGCUAAUACCGGAUGAUAUUUUGAACCGCAUGGUUCAAAAGUGAAAGACGGUCUUGCUGUCACUUAUAGAUGGAUCCGCGCUGCAUUAGCUAGUUGGUAAGGUAACGGCUUAUCAAGGCAACGAUGCCUAGCCGACGUGAGAGAGUGAUAGCCCACACGGGAACUGGGACAGGGUCAAGACGACUGCGAGAGGGAGCAGUAGGGAAUCUGCCGCAAUGGGGGAGAGCCUGACGGAGCAACGGCGCGUGAGUGAUGAAGGUCUUCGGAUCGUAAUGCUCUGUUAUUAGGGGAGAACAGAUGUGUAAGGAAAUGUGCACAGCUUGACGGUACCUAAUCAGAAAGCCACGGCUAACUACGUG
rnacentral:rRNA from 1 species